GGAAGCCUACCCAACUCUCUCCUGAUCUGUCCCUCUGCUUCGAUUCCCAGACUUCACACUGCCUCAGCUCCUGCUUUCUCUCUGAAGUGAUUCCAUGUAAGAGAUCCAGCACCUCCCAUCCUGUGUAUCUUUUUUUCUCACUGUCUGAUGGCUCUUGAGCCUGCUAUGCUGCCAUGGGAACCUGCGGGAGACAGUUCUGGCUACAUAACAGCAUAGAGUCAACUUCCCUUCAAGACAGAAGAUUUUCAUCAGACUCUAAAUACAACGUUUUAACUCCACUUCUGUAUAUAUCUAAUGAAGGCAGGAUUUAUUGUGGCACAGAUUAAAGAAUUAAACAUAUUUGUACUACCUCAUUUUAUUUGCUCAUGUAAACAUUUAGUUUCUCUAUUUGCUACUUUUUCUCCGAGAGGAACUUACGUAUUUCUGUAACGAUUCACUUUAGCCUGUGUAAUGACCACAAUGUCAGCCAAGAAAGUGGCCCAUAUAUACUUCUCCACAUGUGGCUGAUUCACUUUCACUUCUCGUGGGUUUUCAGCUCUACAACUACUUUAGG
rnacentral:lncRNA from 13 species